GGGAUGCUUUGUGCACUGGGUCACCCUUUUUGUGUGUGGUUACAGGUGGCCACAUGAACUGCAGUUGGCAGCGUGGUUGCUACAUUCUUUCAAUUGCCUUUCUGUUGUGCCAUUUGUAUCCCUACUCUCAAACAUUGAGAUAUUCUUUCUUGUUAAUUUUCUCCUUUAUAUUUUAGGGGUAUUUCCGGUAAUCAACCAUCUUCUUGGUACUGUUACUGGAACGGAGCCAAGAGGAUGGAUUUUAGUAUGGAUAAUAAUAAUGUGAUUCUGUGCAUUGAUGUGCUGUCACUAUAUUGUUUCUGCAAGCCAUUACAUUAAUUUAUAUUUCCUGGUUCCCUCGUAUCACUUUGCUGCUCUUG
rnacentral:misc_RNA from 1 species